CUUGCAAGUGAUUAGUCGCCAAGAGACUGGCAUUGUCGGUCGCCGAGUGAUUAGUUUGUUUGGAUAUUUAACACAAAAAUAUGAAUGAACAAAGAUUGAACGUAAAAUUUGUCUAGAAAGUGGAAAAAUUUCCUUGUUUGUACAAUUAUAAAUACAAUACUCCAGAGAAGACAUAACAGAAGCGGCAUGGACUAAAAUAGAAAAAGAAAUGAAUAUGACGGGUGCAGAGCAGGCAAGUUCUGUUACAGGCAAAGAGAGAUGGAAGAAUCUUAGGGCAGUUUUUGUAAGGCGUCGAGUGAUUCUGGUGCAAAAAAAACAAUGCUACUUAACAGAUGUAUUGCCCUUUGUGAAAACCGGCACACCCUUACAAGCUAGUAAUUUACCAGAAAGAAAUACAGAAGAAACUGAAACUGUUGGUGAACCAACGUUACAAGAAGAUACUGGAAAGGCAUCAACUAAGGCAUCAGAUUACCAACCGAAAAACCCCUUGUAUCAGACAGAGCAAACCAAUAUUGAAGCAACAGAAAUAAAUCCAGUUUCAGCUGAGGUACCCCAACCAAAAUGCAGUUCAACAUCUCAUAUUAGAUCAAAUAAGCGUAAAAGGCCUCUAGAUGAGGUAGAUAAGCUUUUGUAAAUUUUCUUAAGGCAAGACAAAGGCAAGAAAGCGGGGUCGAAAAUACACAAAAAAUGUUUCUUUUAAAUUUAUUAGAUGAAAUAACCAGCAUGUCAGAUGAACAAUGGAAAUUAUUUAAAAGAAGAACACUGAAUCUAAUAGUCGAAAUUAUGACUCCAGCAAUCCUGACGAUCUAUACGAUGUAUAUAAAUCAGUUUGAAGGUGAUUUGCGGGGGAACCUCUGAUCUUUCAAGGGAAUCUACUAUAUUCCCAAUAACAUCUCCAUCUUAUUCAAAUAAUUUUCAGCUUUCCUUUCCCGACAACACUAAUCAAACAUUCUUCAUAGGCACAUAAAUCACUCCUGUUUUAUUGUUAAAAAAUAUUAUAGUUUAGGUACUGGGCAAAAUGUUUUUUCAUAUCAAUGUGAAAAAAUAAAUAAAUAAAUAUUCUUUUAAACUAAUAA